CCAGGGUCGUUACACUAUGUAUAGUUGUGGAGCCUCCUGCUGUAUUAUUUGUGUAACUGUAUCUGUGCAUUUAUGUGCACAUGAUCACGCAGGAUCCAGCAAAAGAGUUAUUAAACUUUGGAGAUAAUAGACUGAGGAUGAUGAAGAGGAGGAGGGGGCAGAACCCCAUGGCCGUUUCUCUGCUGUUGGUGGAGGGAGCUACCUGACAUCCAGGACCAGCCCAGGGCCUGUAGACAGGCCUCUAACUGGGAGGAUAAUGGGAGAAGAACUUCUCACAGACCUCCUCCAUUUAAGUGGGAGAUUCUCUUAUGAAAUCACCUCCACACUAGCACCCUGUUUUCAGUGGCUAACUGACUGCUAUGCUGUGUCCUUGGGCAGGACAGCACUGAUGUCCUGGGUUAUGUUACUGGUUUGCUCUGGACCUACAAGUUCUGUGCUUUCUCCAGAGCAGUAAGUGACAUCCCAUUGUAGUUCACUUCUGUUCAUGUCUGAGUUGCCGUACUUGGAUGUAUUGUCACAACAGUCCCUCAAAGUCAAGUGUUAUGUAGUGAAAACUUGCAAUACAAUAUGACAUAAUAAUGCUCUUAGCACUUGAACCUCUUCAUCUUUUAACGUAUACUCCUCGAUCAUAUUGCUCUACGACACUCAGUAUGAGUUUGUACUGGGGGCAUGCCAUUGCUACUGGCAUCAACGUUCUGUGCAACCCUGCAUCUUGCUGUAUCCUUCUCCAGAUUGUGUUCCUGUCCUGGUGCAGGAAGAGUACCACUCCGCAGCAGCAUGGAAGGGGUUCUCCAGACACAGUCUCUUGGGGGGCUUCUCUCCCCCACUCAGCACAACCCUAGAGGGAAGACUAAGAAAAACACACAGUAAGCCCAGAGUCCUCUCUGGGUUAAGGAGAUGGACUCAAUGCCUGGCACAAAUAAAGAUCUUUAAGAUAGAGAAUGAAAGACUAAAUGGUAGAUGUUUGAGAACUCCUUUUUAAGUUGCUCUUUCAUUCCUGUCCUGGCUUUGCCUCAUACAGUAUUUGAUAAUCAUCUUUAAACACAGCUCUCUUUCCUCAUGUGCGUUGGGCUUGGAUGGCACUCCUCUCUGUGUUCCCUCCAAUAACAUAAAUCUCAACAAGAUGGCUGAUAUGGGAUAUUACAUGGAUGUCAACAUUCAACCAGACUCUGUCCAGGGAAGCAGGUGUGUCAGAGAGAUCCCCCUCAGGAGGACCGUGAGAAUGGACAAACCCUGCACCUUAGAAACAUUCUCUGACUCCUCAUCCCUCAACUCUGAUGUGGAGGUCAGAUCCCAACGGAUCCUUACAUCUUCCUCACAUUCUUUAUUAACAACCUUACUAUCGUGUAAAAUCAUAUUCUACAGCAAGAUUUUGCCUAAUAUGGUUCAGUUAUUCUGAGUUUAGUAUGUGAUCGUAAAAAAUGUGAACUGUUAAACCAUUUUCUGCCACAAGAUGGUGAUAGUAUGUGAAGGAUGGUUGAAAACGUGUUGCUUUGGAUUCAUCUGCACAUCAGGGAAACCUAUUAUUUUCAGUCUUAACACAUUGUAGGCCCUGCCUAUUACCAUGUAAGGAAGGUCAAAUCAAGACCUUUACCCACAAGGUCUUCUGAAGUGCUUUGCUUGCUAACUAAGUAUGUUUAUUUAACGUUACUUCUUUAGGCUCAGGCCUUUCCAUGUCGACUGAUUUUUAUAGUGCAGUGAAAGUCCACUCAAGGGCCAUUUCAUAUGAAUUCGAUCACUUUCUGACUGCACCCCUUUUGAUUUGAACGAAACCUUCCAUACAUGUUUGCAAUGGUAGGAGUGGUCAGAAAAGUGACCUUUUGGACCUGAAUGCCAAAACAUUCAGGAGAUAGAGGUGCUCAAAGUUGACGUAUUUUGCAUACCUACCAUUAGACGUCUGUGUCUUCAUCACUGAAAAAUAUAAUUCAAAUCAAAUCAAACUUUAUUUGUCACAUGCACCGAAUACAAUAAGUGUAGACCUUACCGUGAAAUGCUUACUUACAAGCCCUUAACAGUGCAGUUCAAGAAGAGUUAAGAAAAUAUUUACCAAAUAAACUAAAGUAAAAAAUAAUAAAAAGUAACACAGUAACAUAACGAUAACGAGGCUAUGUACAAGGGGUACCGGUACCGAGUCAGUGUGCGGGGUUACAGGUUAGAGGUCAUUUGUACAUGUAGGUAGGGGUGAAGUGACUAUGCAUGGAUAAUAAACAGCGAGUAGGUGCAGUGUACAAAACAAAUGGGGGGGUCAAUGUAAUAGUUUUUAACGUUAAAGGUAUAAAAAAACAAGCUGAUUUUUGUUAUAUCAAACUCGUUUAUCUAAACGUGUAAAGUCAGAUUUGUCUCAUUUUCGCAUAGGUUUUAACUUAGACACGGAUUUAUCUGAAGUUCCAGGCAUAAGCGACAUAAGCAGGUAGCUUAGGGCACCCGGCCACAAACUCAGUCGGGGUCUUGUCACGUCCUGACCAUAGAGAGCCCUUAUUUUCUAUGGCGGAGUAGGUCAAGGCGUGACUGGGGGUUUAGUCUAGUUUAUUAUUUCUAUGUGGGGUUCUAGUUUUGUUUUUCUAUGUUGGUGAUUUUGUAUGAUUCCCAAUUAAAGGCAGCUGGUAAUGGUUGUCUCUAAUUGGGGAUCAUAUUUAAGUAGCAUUUUUUCCACCUGUGUUUUGUGGGAUAUUGUUUAUGUGUAGUUCCAUGUUAGCACGUUUAGUCUUUAUUGUUUGUUGUGUGGUUCACUUAUUUCUAAUAAAAGAUAUGCUUCCAAUGAUCGUGACAGAAUAUCCCACCACAACAGGACCAAGCAGCGUUCCCAGGAGGAGAGUGUAACAUGGACUUGGGAGGAGAUUCUGGAUGGGAAAGGAUCCUGGACUUGGGAGGAAACCCUGGCAGGACAGGAUCGCCUUUCUUGGCGGAAGACGCAAGGAGAGAAGGGAGGACAGUGACGAUGCCGGGGUUCGUGGCCACAGAGAAAGCCCAAAAGGCAGCCCAGGGGAAAAAAUGGGAGGGGGAGCACAUGGGGUGGUCGGCGGAACCGGGGAGUGAGCCAGAGCCUGUGUGGGAGUCGAUAGAAGAAGGUAAUGAGAGAUACCGGAGAGAGGUUGUGGAAAGGAGUAUGCUGCAGCGCAGGCGCAUUGAAAAGCUCCUUCUCAGCCCGGCACCAUCUGUGCCAGCUAUACGCACCAGGUCUCCAGUGCGCCUUCACAGCCCAGGACGUCCUGUGCCAGCUCCUCGCACUUGCCGUGCGAAGUGUGUUAAAGUUACGGUACAAUUGAUGCCAGCUAUACGCACUAGGUCUCCAGUGCGCCUUCACAGCCCAGUACGUCCUGUGCCUGGUGUGUCAUCGAACCGGUACCAUUGAUGCCGGCUAUACGCACCAGGUCUCCAGUACGCCUCCACAGCCCAGUACAUCCUGUGCCAGCUCCAAGCACCAGGC
ensembl:lncRNA